CCAAUAGCGUAUAUUAAAGUUGUUGCAGUUAAAAAGCUCGUAGUUGAAUUUCGGGAUCGACGGGUCGGUCGCGCCUCUGGUGUGUACUGGCCCUGUCGGUUUCUCCCUUCUGACGAACCACGAUGUCAUUAAUUUGGUAUCGUGGGAAAUCAGGACUGUUACUUUGAAAAAAUUAGAGUGUUUAAAGCAGGCAUUCGCUUGAAUACAUUAGCAUGGAAUAAUGAAAUAGUACGUUUGAUCUUAUUUUGUUGGUUUCUAAGAUCGACGUAAUGAUUAAUAGGUAUAGUUGGGGGCAUUAGUAUUCAAUUGUCAGAGGUGAAAUUCUUGGAUUUAUUGAAGACUAACUACUGCGAAAGCAUUUGCCAAGGAUGUUUUCAUUAAUCAAGAACGAAAGUUAGGGGAUCGAAGACGAUCAGAUACCGUCGUAGUCUUAACCAUAAACUAUGCCGACUAGGGAUCGGAUGAUGUUAAUUUUUUAAUGACUCAUUCGGCGCCUUACG
rnacentral:rRNA from 1 species